rnacentral:rRNA from 1 species
GAUGAACGCUGGCGGCGUGCCUAAUACAUGCAAGUCGAGCGAACAGACGAGGAGCUUGCUCCUCUGACGUUAGCGGCGGACGGGUGAGUAACACGUGGAUAACCUACCUAUAAGACUGGGAUAACUUCGGGAAACCGGAGCUAAUACCGGAUAAUAUAUUGAACCGCAUGGUUCAAUAGUGAAAGACGGUUUUGCUGUCACUUAUAGAUGGAUCCGCGCCGCAUUAGCUAGUUGUUACGGUAACGGCUUACCAAGGCAACGAUGCGUAGCCGACGUGAGAGAGUGAUCGCCCACCUGGGAACGGAGCCACGGUCCAGACUCCUACGGGAGGCAGCAGUAGGGAAUCUUCCGCAAUGGGCGAAAGCUUGACGGAGCAACGCCGCGUGAGUGAUGAAGGUCUUCGGAUCGUAAAACCCUGUUAUUAGGGAAGAACAAAUGUGUAAGUAACUAUGCACGUCUUGACGGUACCUAAUCAGAAAGCCACGGCUAACUACGUG